rnacentral:rRNA from 1 species
AUUGAACGCUGGCGGCAGGCCUAACACAUGCAAGUCGAACGAGUGGCGGACGGGUGAGUAAUAUCUGGGAACCUGCCCGAUGGAGGGGGAUAACUACUGGAAACGGUAGCUAAUACCGCAUACCAUAAGAUGUGCCCAGAUGGGAUUAGCUUGUUGGUGGGGUAACGGCUCACCAAGGCAACGAUCCCUAGCUGGUCUGAGAGGAUGACCAGCCACAAUGGAACUGAGACACGGCCCAGACCCCUACGGGAGGCAGCAGUGGGGAAUAUUGCACAAUGGGGGAAACCCUGAUGCAGCCAUCCCGCGUGUAUGAAGAAGGCCUUCGGGUUGUAAAGUACUUUCAGCGGGGAGGCGUUACCCGCAGAAGAAGCACCGGCUAACUACGUGCCAGCAGCCGCGGUAAUUC